GGCAGUGGCAUUGCCCCGUGUGCCGCAAGCUGUGCUGUUGCUCUAUAGGAGAGUGUCCAAAGUCACAUAGGCACUGCAAAGCCUAUAGGUACCGCGUCAGGCGGGCAGAGCAGGCCUCC
rnacentral:SRP_RNA from 1 species